rnacentral:rRNA from 1 species
UGGGGAAUUUUGGACAAUGGGCGCAAGCCUGAUCCAGCAAUGCCGCGUGCAGGAUGAAGGCCUUCGGGUUGUAAACUGCUUUUGUACGGAACGAAACGGUNNGCUCUAAUACAGUGGGCUAAUGACGGUACCGUAAGAAUAAGCACCGGCUAACUACGUGCCAGCAGCCGCGGUAAUACGUAGGGUGCGAGCGUUAAUCGGAAUUACUGGGCGUAAAGCGUGCGCAGGCGGUUAUGUAAGACAGAUGUGAAAUCCCCGGGCUCAACCUGGGACCUGCAUUUGUGACUGCAUGGCUAGAGUACGGUAGAGGGGGAUGGAAUUCCGCGUGUAGCAGUGAAAUGCGUAGAUAUGCGGAGGAACACCGAUGGCGAAGGCAAUCCCCUGGACCUGUACUGACGCUCAUGCACGAAAGCGUGGGGAGCAAACAGGAUUAGAUACCCUGGUAGUCCACGCCCUAAACGAUGUCAACUGGUUGUUGGGUCUUCACUGACUCAGUAACGAAGCUAACGCGUGAAGUUGACCGCCUGGGGAGUACGGCCGCAAGGUUG